rnacentral:misc_RNA from 1 species
UUUGAAUUUGACUAGUUAGGUACAUAAAUAGGUUUAUAGUUAAUUUGUAUUUUGACUUGCUGAUAUCUAUUAAGUUGGAGACUAAUAUUUCUUAGAUGGGAACGUUGUUUUGUGGACGUAAGAUAUUUAUUUCCUUGAAGUCCUACCUUUCAUAAAGUUUGUUUAUCUGUCUAGCGCUCUUUCUUUGAUUUUCUUAAGGAGUUCAUUAGUUUAUCGUUAAUUGAAGAUGGAACUUUAUAAUUCCAAUUUAUGUUACAAAUGCUUCCUAGUUAGAUUUAAAUGGUUUAUUUUGUGGGAAUUCUUGUUAAACUUCAUAUAUGACUCAUUUGUGCUUGUGUGUCUGGCUAUACCCUUCAAGGAGCAUCAACUGGAAUGGGUGUCCCCCCAACAGUCUAUUCUACCAUGUACGAUUUCACCUCUCUGAUUUUUCUUUUCUCUCCCUCCCCUCACAACUGAAAGGGGGGGAAAUUGAAAAAUAGAAAAGAAAGAAAAAACAACUGCCCCUUUUUUUAUCAUUUGAUCUAAAGAUUGAGGGAUUUGUAAUUUGUUAUGAAUAUCAAAACUUCCUUUGUUUACUUUGAUUGCAGUAAACUAUCAGGUUAAUGGCUUCUUCUUUGAGAAAAGAUUGCAUACUUUUAGUUAUAGAUGUUCUUAUUAGGGGUGACUAAUGAGUUAUGACUAUUAUUAUAAUUAUUAUUAUUUAAA